rnacentral:rRNA from 1 species
GACGAACGCUGGCGGCGUGGACUUAGCAUGCAAGUCGAACGGUAGGAUACCUUCGGGUAUCUGAGAGUGGCGAACGGGUGAGUAACACGUAGGUGAUCUACCCUCAAGAUUGGGACAACCCAGGGAAACUUGGGCUAAUACCGGAUGAAAGCAGCAGUGAUGUUGUUUGAAAGGUGGCGUAAGCUGCCGUUUGGGGAUGAGCCUGCGCUCUAUUAGUUAGUUGGCGGGGUAAAGGCCCACCAAGGCGAUGAUAGAUAGGCGGCCUUAACGGGUGGUCGCCCACACUGGGAUUGAGAUACGGCCCAGACUCCUACGGGAGGCAGCAGUCGAGAAUAGUCUACAAUGGCCGAAAGGCUGAUAGUGCGACGCCGCGUGAACGAAGAAGCCCUUCGGGGUGUAAAGUUCUUUUAUAUGUGAGCAGUGCUUUCUAUGUGAACAGCAUGGGGAGAGAGAUAUUAGCAUAUGAAUAAGCAACGGCUAACUCCGUG